UGCGUAGGCGGAAUAUUAAGUCAGUAGUGAAAUCCUGCAGCUUAACUGUAGAACUGUUAUUGAUACUGGUUUUCUUGAAUUUAGUUGAGGUAGGCGGAAUGUGUAAUGUAGCGGUGAAAUGCUUAGAUAUUACACAGAACACCGAUUGCGAAGGCAGCUUACUAAACUGUAACUGACACUGAGGUACGAAAGCGUGGGGAGCGAACAGGAUUAGAUACCCUGGUAGUCC
rnacentral:rRNA from 1 species